rnacentral:rRNA from 1 species
UACGUAGGGAGCGAGCGUUGUCCGGAUUCAUUGGGCGUAAAGAGCUCGUAGGCGGCUUGGUAAGUCGGAUGUGAAACCUCCAGGCUCAACCUGGAGUCGCCAUCCGAUACUGCCAUGGCUAGAGUCCGGUAGGGGCCCACGGAAUUCCUGGUGGAGCGGUGAAAUGCGUAGAUAUCAUUUGGAACGCCAACGGAGAAAUCAGCUCGCUGGGGGUGUGCUGACGCUGAGACACGAAAGCCAGGGGAGCGAACGGG